rnacentral:rRNA from 1 species
AGCGAACGCUAGCGGCGGGCCUAACACAUGCAAGUCGAGCGGGGAGCAAUCCCAGCGGCGAACGGGUGAGUAACACGUGGGUAAUGUGCCUUCUGGUGGUGAAUAACCUUGGGAAACCAGGGCUAAUACCGCAUAUCGUGCUUCGGCAUGAAAGCCUUCGGGCGCCAGUAGAGCAGCCUGCGUCCCAUUAUUUAGUCCUAGUUGGUAGGGUAAUGGCCUACCAAGGGUACGAUGGGUAGCUGGUCUGAGAGGAUGAUCAGCCACACUGGAACUGAGACACGGUCCAGACUCCUACGGGAGGCAGCAGUGGGGAAUAUUGCGCAAUGGGGGAAACCCUGACGCAGCCACGCCGCGUGAGUGAUGAAGGCCUUCGGGUUGUAAGACUCUGUCGGGAGGGACGGAAGGGAGCGAAUCUCUGACGGUACCGUCG